rnacentral:rRNA from 1 species
UACGUAGGGUGCGAGCGUUGUCCGGAAUUAUUGGGCGUAAAGGGCUCGUAGGCGGUUUGUCGCGUCGGGAGUGAAAACCUUGGGCUUAACCCAGGGCUUGCUUUCGAUACGGGCAGACUAGAGGUAUGCAGGGGAGAACGGAAUUCCUGGUGUAGCGGUGAAAUUCGUAGAUAUUAGGAAGAACACCGGUGGCGAAGGCGGCCCACUGGCUCGACACUGACGCUGAGGUGCGAAAGCGUGGGGAGCAAACAGG